rnacentral:rRNA from 1 species
GAAUAUUGGACAAUGGGCGAAAGUCUGAUCCAGCCAUGCCGCGUGUGUGAAGAAGGUCUUCGGAUUGUAAAGCACUUUAAGUAGGGUGGCAGGGCAGUAAGCGAAUACUUUGCUGUUUUGACGUUCCCGAGAGAAUAAGAACCGGCUAACUCUUUGCCAGCAGCCGCGGUAAUACAGAGGGUGCAAGCGUUAAGCGGACUUACUGGGCGUAAAGCGCGCGUAGGUGGUUCGUUAAUUUGGAUGUGAAAUCCCCGGGCUCAACCUGGGAACUGCAUCCAAAACUGGCGAGCUAGAGUAGGGCAGAGGGUGGUGGAAUUUCCUGUGUAGCGGUGAAAUGCGUAGAUAUAGGAAGGAACACCAGUGGCGAAGGCGACCACCUGGGCUCAUACUGACACUGAGGUGCGAAAGCGUGGGGAGCAAACA